AAUGACCGCGGAUCAGGUGAGGAUACCCGCUGAAUUUUAAGCAUAUCAAUAAGCGG
rnacentral:rRNA from 1 species